AUUGAACGCUGGCGGCAUGCUUUACACAUGCCAGUCGAACGGCAGCGCGGGCUUCGGCCUGGCGGCGAGUGGCGAACGGGUGAGUAAUACAUCGGAACGUGCCCAGUAGUGGGGGAUAGCUCGGCGAAAGCCGGAUUAAUACCGCAUACGACCUGAGGGUGAAAGCGGGGGAUCUUCGGACCUCGCGCUAUUGGAGCGGCCGAUGGCAGAUUAGCUAGUUGGUGGGGUAAAGGCCUACCAAGGCGACGAUCUGUAGCUGGGCUGAGAGGACGACCAGCCACACUGGGACUGAGACACGGCCCAGACUCCUACGGGAGGCAGCAGUGGGGAAUUUUGGACAAUGGGCGAAAGCCUGAUCCAGCAAUGCCGCGUGUGUGAUGAAGGCCUUCGGGUUGUAAAGCACUUUUGGCGGGAACGAAAAGGACUGUGCCAAUACCACGGUUCGAUGACGGUACCCGCAGAAUAAGCACCGGCUAACUACGUGC
rnacentral:rRNA from 1 species